rnacentral:rRNA from 1 species
AUGGAUAUCAACCCAUCCAGCACAUGCUGGAACGUGUGAGGCCUUAACAACCCGGCGAAGAGAAAAGCGGUUAGAGAGUUUAUUUCCUCGGUGAAGUGCAACAUAGUGUGUUUGUAGGAGACUAAACUGGAUGUAAUGGACCAAUAUAUGAUGAUGCAAUGCAUUGGACCAUCGUACGAUGGAUUUGCUUAUUUCCCGGCGAUUAAUAUGUGUGGAGGUAUUGUGUUAGCGUGGGACUCCACGGUGCUCGAGGUGGACACCAUCUUCACGGAUGCACACUCACUAACCGGCCUUGUGCACAACAAGGAUGGCUUCAAAUGGUGGGUACCUGUUGUGUAUGGUCCUCAAGGAGAUGACCAGAAACUGGCUUUUUGCAUGAUUUACGUGAGCGUAGGGCAGGGUGCAUAG